rnacentral:lncRNA from 1 species
AGAGGAUUUGCUUAUCUAUUUCUGGAUAUUCAGAAAACAAGAUUUGAGCAACCUGAUGGAGCUGUGGAGCUGUUCUAGAUUUGAGCAACCUGAUGGAACUUCCCUUCAGUGCAGGAAAGUUGGACUAGAUGACCUUUAAAGGUCCCUUCCAACUCCAUAGUUUUAAAUUUUUAAGAUUAUAAAUUUAUUUAUUGCAUAAAAUGAAGACUUGUUUUUAUGCACUUCUC